rnacentral:rRNA from 1 species
CUCCAGUUGGAUGCAUGUCCUUCUGGGAAAGAUUCAUCGGUAUGGGAUGGGGUCGCGUCCUAUCAGCUUGAUGGCGGGGUAACGGCCCACCAUGGCUUCGACGGGUAGCCGGCCUGAGAGGGCGACCGGCCACAUUGGGACUGAGAUACGGCCCAGACUCCUACGGGAGGCAGCAGUGGGGAAUAUUGCACAAUGGGCGCAAGCCUGAUGCAGCGACGCCGCGUGCGGGAUGACGGCCUUCGGGUUGUAAACCGCUUUUGACUGGGAGCAAGCCCUUCGGGGUGAGUGUACCUUUCGAAUAAGCACCGGCUAACUACGUGCCAGCAGCCGCGGUAAUACGUAGGGUGCAAGCGUUAUCCGGAAUUAUUGGGCGUAAAGGGCUCGUAGGCGGUUCGUCGCGUCCGGUGUGAAAGCCCAUCGCUUAACGGUGGAUCCGCGCCGGGUACGGGCGGG